rnacentral:lncRNA from 1 species
GACGAGGUGGAAAAUUACUCCAGUCUCAGUUUCCUGUAAAGACAGAUCAGCAGUUACACCCCUCCACGGGUUCUUUGUGAUGUCACUGAGGCGGUGAAAGGAGCACCUGCCUCUAAUGGCACCCACCAUUAAGUCGGAUCUCAGCAACCAUCUGCGUGGCAGGAGCUAUCACACUGGUGCCUCGCAGUAGCCAAGGAGAGACGCCAAUGAGGGAAUCAUUUUUCCACUUGGUGAAAUACAUUUUGCUGCGUGAAAGCACGAGGAGGGCCUGUCUUGGAUAGGUGGAGUGGUCCUAGGUCCUACUAGAUGGAAACCUCAGGACUCGGAAGAGGUUCACCUUUGGAGUGAGUCCCCCUAAGGGGCUGGCCAGCCUCACGCCAGCUGCCUUCUUCUCAUGACGUGUGGUGUCCUCACA